CCCUUAGAUGUUCUGGGCCGCACGCGCGCUACACUGAUUCAUGCAACAAGUUUUGUCCUUGGCUGAUAGGCCUGGGUAAUCUUUGAACGUGAAUCGUGAUGGGGAUAGAUGAUUGCAAUUAUUCAUCUUCAACGAGGAAUUCCUAGUAAACGCAAGUCAUCAGCUUGCAUUGAUUACGUCCCUGCCCUUUGUACACACCGCCCGUCGCACCUACCGAUUGAAUGGUCCGGUGAAUCUUUAGGACUGUGGCUGAGGCCUUGCCUUGUGCGGGUCUGGCCGUGGGAAUUUAGUUAAACCUUACCAUUUAGAGGAAGGUGAAGUCGUAACA
rnacentral:rRNA from 1 species